UAAUAAUACAUAUAUGAAACGAAUAACAUCAUGUGUUUUGAAACAUAUUAUAUUUGCAUUAUGAUUUACAAUACACGUUGAUUGUACAUUUACUCACUAAUCAGCUGAAAAUGUCGAAAUGUUUAGUACCCCUGAUCGAAGCGAGCGACAGGACGACCGUUAAAAAUAAGUCACCGUGCAUUACUUCCUCGAAGCAGGGACGAAUUUGCGGUGAGAAUUUUUAGUAAAUUCUUUUAGAAUUAAUCACAGGUAAUACAAUACAAUACAGUGAUACAAGCCUCCUAUAACGCGGUAUUUUAUAACACGGUUCCACUUUAACAUGAAAAGAAAAAAUCCUAUAUCCCUCUAUAACAUGGUAUUUCUAAAACACGAUAACGAGAUUUUUGUUUAAAAUAACUUACAAAAUUACAUUAAGCACAUAACACAAAAUGUAUGGGAAUAAGCGAAAUUUUACUGUUUAUUUUUUAUGUUUAAUAGGUAAAAUAGUUCAUACAGGCAUAGUUGAGAUGUUUCAUUCAGAAAAACUACUCUUCUUUUUGUACUGGCUUCUAGUCUUAUAUAACACGGUUUCACACAACACAGAACUUUGUAGGAACGUAUCUACCGUGUUACAGGACGGUUGCAUAUAUUUCAAUUUGUUAUUAUCCACUUCCUGCUCAACUAAGAUGCUUUUUCUGAAGUAGGAUCAGUCAGGGCGAAGGGAACGUUGAAGUUCAUCAAUCAAGGUUAUAUGAGAAAUAAACGCUCUCUGAAGAGGACUAU
rnacentral:misc_RNA from 1 species